CUUAUACACCUGGGAGCAAAACUUUCUGUAUUCCCAGGAUGACUAAGGACAGUCAGAGACCAUCAGUUGCUUUCCCACAGGGUCAAGCUUGCUGCUGUAAUGCAAAUUAUAUUGGUAAGCUGCCAUAUGCUAUGACAACUUGUUGAAAGUGGACUCUUGGAUCAAGGGGCCCUUCCUUGUUUCCCAUAAGCCCUCCUGUCCUGGGCCAGGCUGUCCAGGAGAAGGAACACCAGCAAGCAGCUAAGGACAUUGACAACACUGAAUCCUUGAGACCAGCCAGAAGGGGGACCGUUUCCAGCAAGGUUUACCACGGUACAAAAAUGCCUAAAAAGAGAACGAGAAGCAGGAUGCUCAUCCAUGGAGAGAAAGCCCCGACAUGGGAACAACAGCCAGCCGCCUCAGCUUCCUCAGGCGAUUCCUGCUGGUUGCCUGCUAGAAGAUGCCCAUGCCCUCAGCAAUGCAUUCUGUGUUCCUCUGCCUUCAUCAAACUUAGAUGUGAAGUUUAAAAACUCAGGCCGAAGGCUAUGGGCAGCUGACAGAAGGAUCCAUGCCUGCGAGGCCAGCACAGGGUUUAAGGGCCUCUACUCAUUUAUAGAACGAUGGAAUCUGUCACCUAAGCAUGGUCCACUUUCUUUUCUAAUUAUCUAAUGAGAAACAAAAUAAUUCAUAACUAAAAAUAAAAACGAUUUCAAAGUUA